GGCGGUGAAGGGGAGCCCGCUUCAAAUGUCCGAGUUUAGCAGGCUGGCCUUAGGGCGCUUGUUCAUUCGUUCGACGAUCGCCGCGGGUUCGAAUCCCGCCACCGCUG
rnacentral:tRNA from 1 species